GGAAGGAUCUCUUUCUUGAGAUACCUCCUUAGUGAAGCUUUCCCCUGUGCGCCUAGAAUCUUCUGAUAUGGAUGAGCAAUCUUCUUCCUUUCCUUUAUAGCACUUUUCUAUUGUGCAGCUCCUUCUGUCAUCACAUCUCUGUGUUGACGCCUUUCCCAUCGUAUUGCUCUGCCCAGUUUCUACAGUGAGGCAGUGGAGUUUUCUUUAUACAACAAUGUCCAAAUGCUUUUAUCUCACUUGAUGAAACUGUCCCAUUGACCUGAGGAUCUGUCCUAGAAGCAUCUGAAAGGAUUUUCAUGUUGCAAGCUGAGACAUUAUUUGCAAGAAGUACAUACUCAUGCAACAGGGAUCUGUUGUCUUCACUGCCUCUUAAAACAAUACUUUGUAAAAAAAGAAGUAAUGUUACCCAUCUUUCUUGCACAGCUCAGAAUGCAAUUCCUGAAUAGGUGUUUAUAAGAUCUUUGUUCUUUAUUUGCAUGUAUGUACAUGCUGCCUAAUAAGCUUUGGUGUAUGUAUUUGGAAAUGAAGGCAUUUAAUUAUUUAGCGGCUGCUGAAUAUCAUAAUUUUUACUUUACAUGUUGGUGAUAAUUAAUUCUUUUUGUAAUUUUCUGAUGAAUUAUUUCUCUUUCUGCCUAAUCAGCAAGCACACUGUGAAAUAUAAUUGCACUUGAAGGAAAAUUACUGUCUCAUGAGAUGAAUAAGUUUGACUAAAUUGCACAGAAUAAAGCAAUAUCAUUCACAUAGAGUGAGUGUG
rnacentral:lncRNA from 7 species